rnacentral:rRNA from 1 species
UACGUAGGUGGCAAGCGUUGUCCGGAAUUAUUGGGCGUAAAGCGCGCGCAGGUGGUUCCUUAAGUCUGAUGUGAAAGCCCACGGCUCAACCGUGGAGGGUCAUUGGAAACUGGGGAACUUGAGUGCAGAAGAGGAAAGUGGAAUUCCACGUGUAGCGGUGAAAUGCGUAGAGAUGUGGAGGAACACCAGUGGCGAAGGCGGCUCACUGGCCCGGUACUGACGCUGAGGCGCGAAAGCGUGGGGAGCAAACAGG